AAAGUUCCAACUCCACCAAAGUCCCGCGCGUGGCCCACCGUGUCCCCGGGAUUUCGGGGAUGACCUGGGGGCCAGGUGAGGGGUUGCGCACUUUCGGAUCGGCCCCACGCCCCCAGGGCAGCUGGCGCGGCGCGCUCCCUGCACCGGCGCUCGCCCCCUCGCCCGCGGUCGCACGCACGCGCUCUCGCCCCGCGUGCACAGGCGCGCACUCCCACCCGUGGCCGUGCACCCGCCGCGCGCUCUCCCGCCCGUGUCCUCCCUACCCGAGCGGCAGCCAGAAUGUGUCCCAGGCCCGCUAGCCGCCGCUCCCGCGACAGUGCCCGUCGCCCUAGUGCGCCUUUUUUCAUUUCCUAAAUUUCUGAUUUUUGCCCUUGCAAGUGGCCCUGACUGGUGCGAAGCGUCAGCACAGAUGGCCUCCUGGAGCUUCCCGAGUCGUUCGCUGGGGGAAGCCAGCGGCGAGCAGCCGGCCCGGGGUGUUCCGAGGGCCGCCAGCUCCAGGCAGGGCUGGUGGCGGGGGGUCUGCCUGGGGGAGGAAUCCCCGCCUGCUCCAUCGGACCCCGGCCUGGCGCGGUUCGCCGCGCUCGGCGGGCUGCCUUCCAUUCUAGAAUCUUCCCGCUUGCUUGCUUCCCAGCCCGCGUUCUCCCGCCCGCCUUUAAUUGUGUAAGUUUGACGAAGUCAGAGCUUUGGGUUCCAGGAAAAGCGCUGGAGAGUCUUAGAGGAAGAGAGGGCGCAGGUUGGGGUCAUCUCCAAACAUCCCCAUCGCCACUUUUGGAAAAAAAGAAAAACUAAAACACCCUUAAGGUUGGUUUCAUUUUGCCUUUUGGUGGCAGGCGUAUUCAUUUGGGUUAUUUUUUUUUCAAGACAGACAAAUAAAAGAUGUUUGAAAUCUCGAGUUAUCCGGUUUAACAUACACAUCGAAGGCGCUUUUCCAGUUAAGCUACGGGGGAAAUGUUUCUAUCUCGCGGUUAGGCUGCGAACUUUUGCAGAUGCUCAGGCUUUGGGGGGAUGCUCCGGCAUCCAGGCGGGGAAAAGUUUGCAGCCUGGGCUUUGGGGCGUGCGGAGGCGGGGGGCGGGGGGAGCACGAAUUUUUCUGAGAAAAGAGGGGCAAAGAGACGUUGCGGGUGGGGAGAGAAAAAAGGAACGCAGCGGGGAGGCGGGAAAGCAGCUUGGAGAAUGCGAGUUUCUGGCAGAAUUUACAGGAUUAAAGAGUUUGGGGAAGUCGCAGAGCUGCAGCGGAAAGGCAGGGAUCUGAGACUACUUUCGAGACCGCUGGUGGGCCAGAGAUGGGGUUGAAGGUGUCCUAGCUUUCAUGGCCUGGUGUGGACGUGGGAGGAUCUCCUAAGUCCCUUCAACGAAGGCAAGCGUGAGGCUCUGGCCCUUUAUUUGUAAGAAGCAAGCCUUCAGAUUGCAGAAGUGUCGCGCGGGUCGCCGUGUCAUGCGCGAGUGGGAGAUGGAGGAGGCUGGCACGGCGCUUCCGUGGACGCAAGUGAACCAGGCAUGAAGGCAGGGUGCGAGCUAUGCCCUUGGCCCAGUCCGGCGUGGGCGCUGUCCCGGGUUCCGGGCGGCGUGGGGUGCAGAGAACCGGAGAGUUGCGGGCUCCCCAACGCAGGCUGGGCUCUGGGAUUUCGUUGGAAGAUCCGGCAGAACCUUGGAGGAGAGGGCCUGGGAGGCUGUGCGUGCAGCGGAAACCUGUGCGAAUGUCCCCACAGCUGAAAUGGUGCGCACGAGUAAUUUCUGCGGCGUACCCUUUUAAAAAUUGACCUAAGUGAACAAGAUCAAUUUUUUAUUUCAAAGCAAAGGUAGAAGACAAAAGGCAUGCGACUUCCUGACUGGCUUGUUCCUCCUUGUUUUCCUUCCCUGCACUCGGAUCAGAAACUUUUCUUUAAUUGCUCUUAUUCAGUGCGGCAACUUUUAAUAAAAGCGCUUGUAUCGUGAGCCUGAGUUGCAACCAUAGAUACAUUGCGAAGUGACAAUGUGUCCAUGGAAUAUUUUCACAGAUGAGGCAGGAUGUGCUCUCUGGUCGUGCCCAUGUUAAAGGGACGCUGGGAAGUGUGCCUGUGCGGUGCAGACUCGGAGGGAGUGAGACACACACACGCGUCACCACAUGACCACUGUCUAUUAAUACUGUCAUACCUAAACACUCGAAAAAACAAAAGUUGCUUUUCUUCCCUGUAAUUAAAUCUAAUUUGUUAAUUGUCUUUCCUCUUGCAAUGUUCUUUUCAUCUUAAGAGGUGACACAUUAUUAUUUUGUCUGUCUAAUAUUAUUUACAAAUUAAUGUUGUAUAUUUUACGUUAGUGAAACAUAUAAUUAGGCGUUUGGUUCAAUCCGUAUCAUUUAUUCAAAUAAAACAAAGCCUAUCUGCAAGACUGAUUGGAAGUUGAAUAGUUGGUUCUAAUUCACCAUCGCAGUCACAGUGUAUUGAAGCUACCUGGCUUCAGAGUCACAGAAGCUAGCUGUACCUACGGUGUAUUUGACGCUUUGUUUACAAGUGUUUAUUUUCCCCAACCACUUAAUGAAAAAAAGUAUUCAAAUAUGAGGCCUUUCCUUUUCUGUCUUCUAUCACUCCUCCCCCCACCCAAAGUUCCUUUCUUCUGCUCUCUGGACACCUCUCUGGUUCCUCCCCAACCCCCAAGUUUUGUUUUAGGUUCUUAGGGUUAAAUCCAGCAUGAUUUUGUGCCUUUAAUGCUGUGACAAGUGACUGCUAAUUGGUUCUCACUUGAGCAAAGAUAUUACCAUACUAAUAUUAUUAUUGGUAAGAAGAGGUAAUUGAUAACACCACCUGCCACUCUGGGGCAAUCAGGAUGAUAAAUGUUUCCAUCAACAGGAAAUCUGUGCUUGGUGUGCCACAGCCCAACGCAAACAGCAUGUCAAGUGCCAAUUAUAAAGACGUUGCUUUUUCUAUUACAUUGUGGGGGGCUAGAAAACAUGUAGCCAAAAAUUAUAUUUAUGGAUUUUUAAAAACGCUUUUUCCAAUCCUGUGUUCGCCUACUUGAAGAUGACUUUUCCCAUAAAAAUAAAAUGUUCUACGUAAAUAAACCAGCACAUUGCUAACUGCCCUGUCCGCACUGGAUACAACUGCUGUGAAGUCCUUUGCUUUCAGAGCUAUGGAGAUAAAUAAAUACGCCUAAAUAUUUUUAACAGA